GAAAUGCGAUAAGUAAUGUGAAUUGCAGAAUUCAGUGAAUCAUCGAAUCUUUGAACCCACCUUGCGCUCCUUGGUAUUCCUUGGAGCAUGCCUGUUUGAGUAUCAUGAAAUCUUCAAAGUAAAUCUUUUGUUAACUCAAUUGGUUUCUACUUUGGUAUUGGAGGUCUUUGCAGCUUCACACCUGCUCCUCUUUGUUCAUUAGCUGGAUCUCAGUGUUAUGCUUGGUUCCACUCGGCGUGAUAAGUUAUCUAUCGCUGAGGACACUGUAAAAGGUGGCCAAGGUAAAUGCAGAUGAACCGCUUCUAAUAGUCCAUUGACUUGGACAAUACUUUUAUGAUCUGAUCUCAAAUCAGGUAGGACUACCCGCUGAACUUAAGC
rnacentral:misc_RNA from 1 species